CGCAAGUCACCUUUCCCUCCCGACUUCCACCCACUCCACCUCCCCGCCUUCCUUUGUAAUCACUCGCUGUUAUUUUUUUCUUUGAUCUCCCUCUAACAAACCCAUCGCAGUCACACAACCUCCUCAGUGCCGGCUGACCAACAUUGUAGUGGGUAUUCUGUCUCCGGCUCUUCCAGACGAGUUGUGUCACAGCCCAACCGCUCCUCAACCUUCGAAUCGUAAUUACAAGAAAAGUCUCACCGAACAUCGAGACUGAUGUGCUUAUAAUGGCCAGAGGAAGGAAAAAGAAAAAUUUUGGCAGCCAAUUUUUCUGGCACAACAAGGCCGAGUUUCAAAAGAUGCUACCUGACUUGCUGAGUUCCUCCAUUAUUUUGUGUGUGUUGCUCAAGACUUCCAGCAGGAUCUAUCAACAGUGGCCACAUUAUUAGGAGUUCCCAACCUCUAUUAUGCCAUAGACCAAUACCAUUAAGCAAGGGGCCUGUGGACCCCAGUUUGGGAACCCCUGCACCCAAUUCCAGGCUUCUAACACUGGGCUUUGAACUCCAGACUUCACAGAACAACCCCAGUAACAAGAACAGCAACAUCAGCAAAAGCAAGCCCCACUCCUUCCUUCCACCCACUCACCCACGCAUAGGGUCCUCCAACCCCACACAAGCCGUUUCCGGUCUCCAGUGGACUCGUAGACCUGAGACUCUGGUCAUCGGACAAUGAGGAAUCUGGAUGACAUUGAUUACUGAUGGCCAGGACUGAAAAUAUCACUGUUGCUGCACCCAUUUGAACACCAACCAUUGUUGGAGAAGAGGACGUCACACCAGAGAGAUUGCUGGAUCUUUGACCUCGGCUUUCUUUGAGGUCAGUGGCGUGCAGUCAUGAUUCGCUACAACCAAAGGCGUAGGUCCAAGAAGGAUGCAGGCAUCAGCAGUAAAGAAACACCACCACUGGCAGGUUCCUCUUAAAGUCACACACUAUAUGGGAUUGCAAUCACCCUUCUUUGUUACAGAGUCUAAAUCUCAAAACUCUCCUCAAUACCACUGUAAGAGUACCUUCACUGGGAGGACCUCAGCAGUUCAAGAGUGGGGCUCACCAGCGCUUUCUCAAGGAUGGCUGGUCAUGCCAAAAGAGCUAAACCCCCAAAGAAUGAGUGAAAAAAAUAGCAAAUAAAAGAAGAAGAAAAUGAAAAAGAUGAAAAAAAAGAGAAGCUCAACUCAGGGUCAACAACAGCACCAAUGUUGCAAGCAGUGGGCUUCAAGUCUUAAUCAACUGCAUAGGGAAGGGUGAAGUUCAAAGUUCAAAGUAAACUUUUAUCGAAGUACGUACAUGUCACCACGAACGACCCUGAAACUCAUUUUUAGCUGACAUGAAGAAUCUUUGCAAACUUUGAAAAAAUUAGAGGUGCUCUGUGCCUCCUUUAAAAUGACACCUAACUACUGGACCCGGAACAGAUCCUUGGAAAUGAUAAUGCUGAGGAAGUUAUUCUACAGUUUACAUGUUACAGUAAAACCUGAAUACUGUAGCCUUUUGAAAUAAAAUAUGC